GAGUUCAAAUCGGCGUCCUUCGCAAAGGUACCAAGAUCGGCCUCCACCACAAUACCAAGAACGACUUCCAAAUCAUUACCAAGAACGGUCUCCACCUCAGUACCAAGAACGACUUCCACCUCAGUACCAAGAACGGUCUCCACCUAAUUACCAAGAACGAUCUCCACCUCAGUACCAAGAACACUUCCCACCCAAUUACCAUGCUGUCAGAAAUGAUCAACCCAGUGCAUUCCAGGUACAGCUCAUCCCGCAAAUGCAAACCACAUUACAGACAAGAUAUUCCAAUGGUCAACAAGAGGCUGCAAAUCAGUGGAACGCUUGCUCAGGCAGUGCGAACUCUUCUACUUUUCAACCAAACUCAAAUGGAUAUGAUUGGUUGAAACGGACAAACCAGAUCCAUCCCCAGCACCAAUUUGCAGCCAAACACACACAGCAGCACUACCCACCUGACAACACCAACGCAUAUAGGCAUCAUCCCCAAUUCGUGCAAUGGCAUGAUUCCUCCCUACAGAACUACAGAAACACAGGCUAUAGUCAAGCUCCAAUGUAUUGGUCUCCACAGUCAGACCAUGGCAGCUCUGUGGGUAACAGCAGGGGUUGGAGUUCCCACAUUUCCAACAAUGGCAGCUCUUGUUCCGUGAACAAUCAGCAACAAUUUCAAGCCCCUAGAAUGGCUGCUCAUCAUCACCAUCAACAACAACAACAAGAAGAGCUCUCUAGACAAUAUUCAGGCAAAACACGAAGAUGCCACACACAAUACUCUUCUCAGGUCUCCCAAAAAAUUCUUAACAAUCAAGCUCAGAGCAGAAUUGAGGCCAAUCGUACCUCGUGCAACUCUACGACACCACCUUCUGGACCACAGAGCAAUGUUUCAUUGCCUUCCAAUAAUUUAAACCAAAGUCCUGUUGACCAGAAUCGGUCAGAACUUGGGUCAAAUGCAGGUCCAGAUGUAUCGGCGACCCAGCCUCAGAAUAAUCAAGAUGCUGGACAUCAGUCUCAGGGCACAAACAAUGGGACAUGUAACGUUAAUCAGACCUCUCAAACGACACAGACCAGUAAAGCCCAGCUUCAGCCCCACUCUAAAACUGAUUUUAACUUGUCAUCUUAUGCUGACUCAAUAAUAUAUAGAUUACUGUGUUCAAAUGGUAAUGAAAAAUCAGAUGUAAGGACUGCAUAUCAGAACACUCGUCCAGAACAGUCGGAAGUUUGUGCAACCAGAAGGACUGGCAAUCACUCAAAGGAACCAAGAGCACAGUGUACAGUUGAACCGCCCAGCAAAAGAAUGAAGUAUGCUGUGAUUCAGAGAGACUGUUGGAACAAAGUAACAAUAGUGUCCAAAGACAAAAUUGAUUUUGGGGUGCAAUAUGCACAAACUGGUACCCAUCAGACAAGUAAUGAUGAGAACAGACGUAAAGGAACGAGCCAACACAACAUACAGUACAGUACGGACCCAGCAGACUGUCUUGAAGUGGUGUUUGCACUACAGAAAGCUGCUCAGCAAAUUCACAAGGCCAUAGCCAUCGUUCCACCCAUUUCCCAACAGAUCAUAAAUGCUGCACCGACAGCUGAUACCAGCCCCAAAAAAGCUGAAAGUCCACCGUUAAAGAUUGAUUGCGUUUGGUCACUUGUUGAAGAGUCUAAUGAACAAAAAACUGUAAAUGACAAGCUGUCUGAAUCCUCCUCACAAACGGCUCAACAGGACAACAAAAGCCUUGAAAACACGACUGAAAGCAACAUCGCAGACCCCGAUGCAUGCUCUGCUAGCCCGGUUGAAUGUCAAAAUGACGUGCAGCAAAGUGACUGUGAUUCAAGUGAUCUUUCAUUUGACUUUUCCAGUGUGCCAGUGAUUGACCACACACUGGAGAAACUGAUGGACUUAGCAAAGUCUUUAGAGAUGACAGAGUUAUCGGCCGGAUAUCCUGAGUAUUCUGAGAGCGUUUUAGAAAGGAUCGUGAAACUCUACUGGAAU
rnacentral:lncRNA from 1 species